rnacentral:rRNA from 1 species
CCUACGGGUCGCAGCAGUAGGGAAUCUUCCACAAUGGGCGAAAGCCUGAUGGAGCAACGCCGCGUGAGUGAAGAAGGAUUUCGGUUCGUAAAACUCUGUUGUAAGGGAAGAACAAGUACAGUAGUAACUGGCUGUACCUUGACGGUACCUUAUUAGAAAGCCACGGCUAACUACGUGCCAGCAGCCGCGGUAAUACGUAGGUGGCAAGCGUUGUCCGGAAUUAUUGGGCGUAAAGCGCGCGCAGGUGGUUUCUUAAGUCUGAGGAGAAAGCCCACGGCUCAACCGUGGAGGGUCAUUGGAAACUGGGAGACUUGAGUGCAGAAGAGGAUAGUGGAAUUCCAAGUGUAGCGGUGAAAUGCGUAGAGAUUUGGAGGAACACCAGUGGCGAAGGCGACUAUCUGGUCUGUAACCGACACUGAGGCGCGAAAGCGUGGGGAGCAAACAGGAUUAGAUACCCGGGUAGUC